UGCGCAGGCGGGUUUGUAAGUCAGUGGUGAAAUCCUGCCGCUUAACGGUAGAAUUGCCAUUGAUACUGCGAAUCUUGAGUAUGGUUGAGGUAGGCGGAAUGUGUAGUGUAGCGGUGAAAUGCAUAGAUAUUACACAGAACUCCGAUUGCGAAGGCAGCUUACUAAGUCAUAACUGACGCUGAGGCACGAAAGCGUGGGGAGCGAACAGGAUUAGAUACCCUGGUAGUCC
rnacentral:rRNA from 1 species